AGAGUUUGAUUCUGGCUCAGAUUGAACGCUGGCGGAAUGCUUUACACAUGCAAGUCGAGCGGCAGCGCGGGGCAACCUGGCGGCGAGCGGCGAACGGGUGAGUAAUGUAUCGGAACGUACCCAGUCGUGGGGGAUAACACAGCGAAAGCUGUGCUAAUACCGCAUACGUCCUGAGGGAGAAAGCGGGGGACUCGUAAGGGCCUCGCGCGAUUGGAGCGGCCGAUAUCGGAUUAGCUAGUUGGUGAGGUAAAGGCUCACCAAGGCGACGAUCCGUAGCUGGUCUGAGAGGACGACCAGCCACACUGGAACUGAGACACGGUCCAGACUCCUACGGGAGGCAGCAGUGGGGAAUUUUGGACAAUGGGGGAAACCCUGAUCCAGCCAUUCCGCGUGAGUGAAGAAGGCCUUCGGGUUGUAAAGCUCUUUCAGCAGGAACGAAACGGUAAGCUUUAAUAAAGUUUGCUAAUGACGGUACCUGAAGAAGAAGCACCGGCUAACUACGUGCCAGCCGCCGCGGUAA
rnacentral:rRNA from 1 species